rnacentral:rRNA from 1 species
AAUAUCAAAGGUGAGCCAGUACAGGAUGGACCCGCGUCUGAUUAGCUAGUUGGUAAGGUAACGGCUUACCAAGGCGACGAUCAGUAGCCGACCUGAGAGGGUGAUCGGCCACAUUGGAACUGAGACACGGUCCAAACUCCUACGGGAGGCAGCAGUGGGGAAUAUUGCACAAUGGGCGAAAGCCUGAUGCAGCAACGCCGCGUGAGUGAUGAAGGCUUUCGGGUCGUAAAACUCUGUCCUCAAGGAAGAUAAUGACGGUACUUGAGGAGGAAGCCCCGGCUAACUACGUGCCAGCAGCCGCGGUAAUACGUAGGGGGCUAGCGUUAUCCGGAUUUACUGGGCGUAAAGGGUGCGUAGGCGGUCUUUCAAGUCAGGAGUGAAAGGCUACGGCUCAACCGUAGUAAGCUCUUGAAACUGGGAGACUUGAGUGCAGGAGAGGAGAGUGGAAUUCCUAGUGUAGCGGUGAAAUGCGUAGAUAUUAGGAGGAACACCAGUUGCGAAGGCGGCUCUCUGGACUGUAACUGACGCUGAGGCACGAAAGCGUGGGGAGCAAACAGGAUUAGAUACCCUGGUAGUCCACGCUGUAAACGAUGAGUACUAGGUGUCGGGGGUUACCCCC